rnacentral:rRNA from 1 species
GACGAACGCUGGCGGCGCGCCUAACACAUGCAAGUCGAACGGAGAAAUGCUAAGCUUGCUUUGCAUAACUUAGUGGCGGACGGGUGAGUAACACGUGAGCAACCUGUCUUUCAGAGGGGGAUAACGGCUGGAAACGGUCGCUAAUACCGCAUGACAUAUUCGAGUGGCAUCACCUGGAUAUCAAAGGAGCAAUCCGCUGAAAGAUGGGCUCGCGUCUGAUUAGAUAGUUGGUGGGGUAACGGCCUACCAAGUCGACGAUCAGUAGCCGGACUGAGAGGUUGAACGGCCACAUUGGGACUGAGAUACGGCCCAGACUCCUACGGGAGGCAGCAGUGGGGAAU